UACAGAGGGUGCAAGCGUUGUUCGGAAUUAUUGGGCGUAAAGCGCGUGUAGGCGGCUUUGCAAGUCGGGUGUGAAAGCCCUCAGCUCAACUGAGGAAGUGCGCCCGAAACUGCAGAGCUUGAGUGCCGGAGAGGGUGGCGGAAUUCCCCCAAGUAGAGGUGAAAUUCGUAGAUAUGGGGAGGAACACCGGUGGCGAAGGCGGCCACC
rnacentral:rRNA from 1 species